rnacentral:tRNA from 1 species
GCGCUCGUAGCUCAACGGACAGAGCAGGUCUCCCGGGCAGAUGCAGGUUCGAGCCCUGCCGAGUGCACCA